AAAUUUAAAAAUUACACGACAAAAAAGCACCAUAUUUCACUGCUGACAUGUAAGGACGGGCAUAUAAAAUCUGGCCAUUAUGUAACUUUUCUCUCUCUUCCCCUUUGCCUUGUAGACAUCCACGUGACGAUAUUGCCGUUAGGUUUUCUUUUACUUAAAAGAGACAGGGUAACAUUCUGUAAAAAAACCUCCCUUUCCAGCCUCCGGCAAUUUACGAAGUUUCCGUUCGUGAGAAAGAAUCAAAUAAAUACCGGAAAAAAUUACCUCAUAUUUUCCACCAGAUGGAAAACGGUGUAGGGCUAUGAGAGUACCGACAAACCUAAAUCAAGGAUUUUUACUACCAUGAAAGAUAACUGUAAUUAUGGUCGUGUUGUUUAAUUUACAAUACGUAUUGCUAUAAUAAAAAAAUUGUAGUACUUUCUGAUUCGAAUCUUCACAAAUAAAUGGGUUAAUAAUUAGGGCGUCAACAAAAGACAUCAAAAGAAAAAUUGUGAAAUAAAAAAAGGGGUUCAUCCGUUGAGCCAGAGUUGAACUAGGGACCUAUGGAUACCUUCGUAAUGGAAGUUUAACAACCUUCUCUUUGUUGUUGGACAACUCUACAGUUCACAGCUAUCGACGGCUGGAAUUAGAACGUUUUGCAAGCGACGAUAUUCUUUGUUCACUUCGAUUACACGUU